UACGGAGGUGGCAAGCGUUGCUCGGAAUUACUGGGCGUAAAGGGCGCGUAGGCGGCCAACUAAGUCGGACGUGAAAUCCCCGGGCUCAACCCGGGAACUGCGUCCGAUACUGGAUGGCUUGAAUCCGGGAGAGGGAUGUGGAAUUCCAGGUGUAGCGGUGAAAUGCGUAGAUAUCUGGAGGAACACCGGUGGCGAAGGCGGCAUCCUGGACCGGUAUUGACGCUGAGGCGCGAAAGCCAGGGGGGCAAACGGG
rnacentral:rRNA from 1 species